UAGGGAAUCUUCAGCAAUGGACGCAAGUCUGACGGAGCAACGCCGCGUGAGUGAAGAAGGUUUUCGGAUCGUAAAACUCUGUUGUAAGAGAAGAACAAAUUGUAGAGUAACUGCUACAGUCUUGACGGUAUCUUACCAGAAAGCCACGGCUAACUACGUGCCAGCAGCCGCGGUAAUACGUAGGUGGCAAGCGUUGUCCGGAUUUAUUGGGCGUAAAGGGGGCGCAGGCUGCUUCUUAAGUCUGGUGUGAAAGCCCACGGCUUAACCGUGGAAGUGCAUUGGAAACUGGGAAGCUUGAGUACAGAAGAGGAAAGUGGAACUCCAUGUGUAGCGGUGGAAUGCGUAGAUAUAUGGAAGAACACCAGUGGCGAAAGCGACUUUCUGGUCUGUCACUGACGCUGAGGCCCGAAAGCGUGGGUAGCAAACAGG
rnacentral:rRNA from 1 species